CCUACGGGAGGCUGCAGUGAGGAAUAUUGGUCAAUGGUCGGAAGACUGAACCAGCCAAGCCGCGUGAGGGAGGAAGGUCCAGAGUAUCGUAAACCCCUUUUGUCAGGGAGCAAAGGCAGGGACGUGUCCCCGGAUGAGUGUACCUUACGAACAAGCAUCGGCUAACUCCGUGCCAGCAGCCGCGGUAAUGCGGAGGAUGCGAGCGGUGUCCGGAUUUAAUGGGUGUAAAGGGUGCGUAGGCGGUCUGUUAAGUCAGCGGUCAAAGCCCCGGGCCCAACCCCGGCCCGGCCGUUGAUACUGGCAGUCUCGAGUGGGAGAGAGGUAUGCGGAAUUCGCGGUGUAGCGGUGAAAUGCAUAGAUAUCGCGCAGAACUCCGAUUGCGAAGGCAGCAUGCCGGCUCAAAACUGACGCUGAGGCACGAAAGCGUGGGUAUCGAACAGGAUUAGAUACCCCGGUAGUC
rnacentral:rRNA from 1 species